rnacentral:rRNA from 1 species
GAUGAACGCUGGCGGCACGCCUAAUACAUGCAAGUCGAACGGACCUCGUAACUAUGACGCUUCGGUUGAUUAGUUGCAUUUGGUUAGUGGCAAACGGGUGAGGAAUACAUAGGUAAUCUACCCCUAAGUCUGGGAUAACAUUUCGAAAGGAAUGCUAAUACCGGAUAUACUCUUUGAUCAUAUGAUUGUAAGAGGAAAGGUUUACUGCUUAGGGAGGGGCCUAUGUCCGAUUAGCUAGUUGGUAAGGUAAUGGCUUACCAAGGCUUCGAUCGGUAGUUGGUCUGAGAGGACGAUCAGCCACACUGGGACUGAGACACGGCCCAGACUCCUACGGGAGGCAGCAGUAGGGAAUAUUGCGCAAUGGACGAAAGUCUGACGCAGCGAUGCCGCGUGAGUGACGAAGCCUUUCGGGGUGUAAAGCUCUGUCAAGAGGGAAGAUUAUGACGGUACCUCUAAAGGAAGCAACGGCUAAUUACG